GAGAGAGAGAGAGAGAGAGCGAAAACCAAAAGCAAAACAAAGGAAAAUUUUGAAUUCAUUUUCAAUUUGUAAAAUUGCUGCUCCAAUUCAAUUCUUGGGAUUUGAUCUCGUGCUCCUUUCAAAUUCUCUCAUUUUCUCCUCUGAGUCCCUUCACUGGGAUCAGAGGUUCAUUUUCUCACGCCAGUUCUUUCUUGAAACCAUUUAUACAAGUCAUUUAUAUAUACGUAGACAUAUAGUUGCUAUAUCUUGGACGCAAGUGAGAAUUGGGUUUUGUCAGAAUUGGAGAUUUUUGCUUUACUGAGAUGGAUAUGCCCUCCCAAGAUAAAGAAAUAAUGGAAGGGUGGUUGUUUCUUAUUCGUUCUAAUCGGAUUGGUUUACAGUACUCCAGGAAACGGUACUUUGUUCUUGAAGGUCACGUUCUUAAGAGCUUCAAGGCUAUACCUGCUUCUAAAGAUGAGGAUCCUGUUAGAAGUGCAAUUGUAGAUUCCUGCAUUCGGGUCACUGACAAUGGGAGAGAGAGCGUUCAUAGAAAAGUGUUCUUCAUAUUUACACUUUAUAAUAUGUCUAAUCACAAUGAUCAACUUAAGCUGGGAGCAAGCAGUCCUGAAGAAGCAGCAAGGUGGAUUCAUUCCAUUCAAGAAGCAGCUUUAAAGGGUGGUCAGAAUGUUGUUGGUUGUUCAAAGAACAGUUGGCAGUCCUUUAGAUUGAGUGGUUCCAGUCGUGUAAAUCACAACAAACCAAUAGACUGGACUCUUUGUUCUUUCACGCAUAGUGAUCCAGUGACAGAUGUUAUUGCACCUUCACCUUGGACAAUCUUUGGGUGUCAGAAUGGUUUACGUCUCUUUAAAGAAGCAAAAGACAGGGAUUCUCAUGGGAAGUGGGAUGAUCAUCCUGCAAUAAUGGCUGUAGGUGUGGUUGACGGAACUUCAGAAGCCAUUUUUCAAACACUUAUGUCUCUUGGUCCUUCAAGAUCAGAAUGGGACUUCUGUUUCUACAAGGGUAGUGUGGUUGAGCACCUGGAUGGUCACACUGAUAUUGUUCACAAAAUGUUGUAUAAUGAUUGGUUGCCAUGGGGCAUGAAACGAAGAGACUUUUUGUUGCGGCGUUACUGGAGAAGGGAAGAUGAUGGAACAUAUGUUAUUCUCUACCAUUCUGUGUUUCACAAGAAGUGUCCCCCCAAGAAGGGCUAUGUUCGUGCCUGCCUUAAAAGUAAUGUGGAGGAUAUGUCAUAUCUCCUGUAAACCAAGGGAAGCGAUCUGUAGUAAAGCACAUGCUUGCUAUUGACUGGAAAUUCUGGAAAUUCUAUCUACGAACUUCUUCAGCUCGAUCUAUUACCAUCCAAAUGCUUGGAAGAGUUGCUGCAUUACGAGAGUUGUUCAGAGCAAAACAGGGAAAUUGCCCUUCCUCUGAAUUUUCAUCAGGAGAGUUGGCAAGAAAUAUUAAGCUGCAUCAGAGUGAAGAGGAUGGGAAGGGAGAUGAUGGGAAAACUAAGGAACAUCCAAGUGAAGAAGUAGAUAAGGUUCCUUCGGAGCUUGCCAGCCUAGUUGACCUGGAUGAUGCUUCUGAUGAGUUUUUUGAUGUUCCAGAACCCUUAGAUUAUGAAAAAUCAGAAAAUGAUUGGAGCUAUGAUUUUGGUCAUGAAAUAUACUCUCAGGUACUAUUUGAAACAGAUUAAUUCAUUUUUGCUUCUUACAUAAAAGGAGUAGCUAGAUUUGGUAGUUUAAGGGACUUCAGCACUGAUUUUUGUCUUUCUAAGGAUGUGCACAGUCAUCCAUGCCAGUUUCGGAUCAUUUUGUAAUAAUAGGAAGAAGCCUUGCAAGGCAACAAUAUAGUUGACUUUAUGUUAGAGAAAUUCCAGGAAAUGCCAGCCUUUUGAGGGCUAGUGGCAUGUUUCUUCCUCUAGUUGUCUGUUCCUCUGUUUAUUUCACAUGUGCACUUGUUUUUUAUGCUGUGACCGUGCAGUACACGUGUGCUUAUAGGUUGAGUGGUUUAUCUGUCUGGACUUAUCAACUAAUCUACUGUCAGUGCUUUCGGUUCAACCAGGGUACCUUGAUGAUUGAAUUGUUCAGAACUUUCAUUAGCUGUUUGUCAUGCAUUGCUCAUCAUCCACAAGACAAUUCUUGUUGUUUACUUUGUCAAAUUCCCAUUCUUUUACUUCUUUGCUGCGUUUCAUUAUUCUGCACUAAAAGUUUUUUAAAUUUUGCUUACGACUUUGAGAACUGCAGGAUGUACGUCAACCUAAGUUGUCCACUGCUGCUGGUAUUGUGAAGAAAUUACAUGAUCUUACUGGUAAAGUUGGUUUGGGUGCUCAACUUUGAGAUUAAGAAAUUGAUGGCAAAUCAUAAUGUCUUCUGUCAAAUGGGUUUGUAUGAUUUACUGUCUUGUGCAAUUUAAUGACAUUAAGACUCAUGUAUCCUGCAGUUCAAAAGAGGGGUUAUGUGGACUUGCAAGAGAUGACUAGGGAAGACAGUAUUUUGUGCUGCUAUGGAACUACUCUUCCAAAAGAUCCAACUUGUACUAUGCUUUCCAGUUGGACAGCAGCUGAUCCUUCUAGCUUUUUGAUCCGUGGAAAGAAUUACCUUGAAGACCAGAAGAAGGUUAAGGCAAAAGGCACUUUGAUGCAAAUGGUUGCUGCAGACUGGCUAAGAUCUGACAAGCGAGAAGAUGAUCUAGCAGGCCGUCCAGGGAGCAUUGUUCAAAAAUAUGCUGUACAAGGUGGACCAGAGUUCUUCUUCAUUAUAAACAUACAAGUCCCAGGUUCAACUACAUAUAGCCUUGCCCUAUACUAUAUGAUGACUACACCUUUGGAAGACGCACCGUUGCUAGAGAGUUUUGUCAAGGGGGAUGAUACAUAUAGAAAUUCAAGGUUUAAGCUCAUACCUUACAUAUCUAAGGGUUCAUGGAUAGUUAAGCAAAGUGUGGGAAAGAAAGCAUGCCUGAUUGGCCAAGCACUGGAAAUUAAUUAUUUUCACGGAAAGAAUUACCUGGAGCUUGGAGUCGAUAUUGGGUCAUCAACCGUUGCGAGGGGCGUAGUUAGUCUUGUUCUUGGUUACCUCAGCAAUUUGGUUAUUGAAAUGGCAUUUUUGAUACAGGCAAAUACAGCAGAGGAGCUUCCAGAGUAUCUUCUUGGAACCUGCCGGCUUAACCAUCUGGAUGCCUCCAAAGCAGUUUUAUUGAAUUCAUGAUUAUCUAUCAGUGUCAUAUUCAGUUCCUUAAGAGGGCUCAAGAAGCAUUUUCCUUGGAAAC
rnacentral:misc_RNA from 1 species